GUGCUGUUCCUCCUGCCCCCAAGAAGGGGCGGCAAACGCUGCACAGUGAAAUGAAAUCCAAAGCCCCCACCCCCGGCCCCUGGGAUAAACCACUAAGGGCCUUGCUGGGCAAACACAAUUAGCAUUGAGCAAAGUACACAGACGUCUUCCACCGCUAUCAGUAUUGUUGAUCUCUGAAGACACGAGCUUGUUUCUGAAGACAGCAUCUUCAGCUGGUCAGUGGGAUUGCCUUCUGACAGUGUCGCCAGACUUGCAGUUCAGAGGUGGUGACAGAAAUGACUCUCGGUGGCCCCAUCUCUCAGAUGCAGGAGGAUUCUUCGAGAAGGUGCUGGUGCCUUCAGUCUUCAAGGAGCUGGCCUCAGAGUUGCAGCAAGCAGGCUCCUUUAAGACAGAUCUGUGCUCCUAAUUAUGUGCUGCUGAAGAGGCUGCUCAUGACUCAGCGUGGGACAGGACUGUUUGUAUGUCUUCUGGGCAAAGUGCUCAUUUUCAGCUUUUUGGCACUGUUCAACUUAGGUGAGAUUGCUGUGGGAAGUAGCUCUCUUAAUAAAUCAUCUUUGAGUUUAUUUAGUCAGUAACACAAUCUAGCCCUUGUCAAAUACAUUAACUGCUAUUUAUCUAGGAGGAAUCCCGAGGAGGGCUGAGUCACUUCUCAGAUUGCUCAACUAUGAAGGGCUAACACGGAAACAGGUUCUUCUGCAGUUUUAUGUUUCCUCUUAAAUCCUGGCUGAUGUUCCCUGUUUUUGUAUACUGUGGGAAGUUUUCUUCCAGCUGGUAAUGAGCUAUCAGGGAGGCUCAACCCGCAGGCCCCGUAAGCCCCAGGAAUUUACACAACGUUGGAGGAAUUUUCCCCGUGAGGGCCUGCAGCUGGGCGUUCCUGCGACACUGCUCUGCUUUGUGUGGCCCAGUGGAGCAUCUCUCUGAGGCGCUUGGGCCCUGGAGGGCGACCUGCAGUGCUCUUCCGUUUCUAAGAGCUGGCUCCCUGAAUUUCUCUGAUUCAAGAUACGAUUGCCUUUUGGGCCAGGUCAUCAACUGGGCACAUUUUGGGACUUCUCAGAACUCAGUCACAACUGGCUACCAUCCAGUCUUGUUUUCUUUCCUGGGAUCCCUGGAUCAGGAAGAUCCCCUGGAGCAGGAAAUGGCAAGUCACUGCAGUGUUCCUGCCUGGAGAAUCCCAGGGACUGAGGGGCCUG
rnacentral:lncRNA from 1 species